CCCUGCAUUCGAAAGUGAUUGUGGGCUGCUGGUGCCCUGGUCAUUGAUAGUGCAGGGAAAGGAAUGCUGAAAGCUUUUCCCCGUGUUUGGAAGGUCCAUUCCUGUCCUUACCAAACCCUACAGCUUUCUCACA
ensembl:snoRNA SNORA71 Small nucleolar RNA SNORA71